rnacentral:rRNA from 1 species
AACUUUCAACAACGGAUCUCUUGGUUCUGGCAUCGAUGAAGAACGCAGCGAAAUGCGAUAAUUAAUGUGAAUUGCAGAAUUUAGUGAAUCAUCGAAUCUUUGAACGCACAUUGCGCCCCUUGGUAUUCCGGGGGGCAUGCCUGUUCGAGCGUCAUUU